rnacentral:rRNA from 1 species
GGGUUGUGAGGUUAAGCGACUAAGCGUACACGGUGGAUGCCCUGGCAGUCAGAGGCGAUGAAGGACGUGCUAAUCUGCGAUAAGCGUCGGUAAGGUGAUAUGAACCGUUAUAACCGGCGAUUUCCGAAUGGGGAAACCCAGUGUGUUUCGACACACUAUCAUUAACUGAAUCCAUAGGUUAAUGAGGCGAACCGGGGGAACUGAAACAUCUAAGUACCCCGAGGAAAAGAAAUCAACCGAGAUUCCCCCAGUAGCGGCGAGCGAACGGGGAGGAGCCCAGAGCCUGAAUCAGUGUGUGUGUUAGUGGAAGCGUCUGGAAAGGCGCGCGAUACAGGGUGACAGCCCCGUACACAAAAAUGCACAUGCUGUGAGCUCGAUGAGUAGGGCGGGACACGUGGUAUCCUGUCUGAAUAUGGGGGGACCAUCCUCCAAGGCUAAAUACUCCUGACUGACCGAUAGUGAACCAGUACCGUGAGGGAAAGGCGAAAAGAACCCCGGCGAGGGGAGUGAAAAAGAACCUGAAACCGUGUACGUACAAGCAGUGGGAGCCUCUUUUAUGGGGUGACUGCGUACCUUUUGUAUAAUGGGUCAGCGACUUAUAUUCUGUAGCAAGGUUAACCGAAUAGGGGAGCCGAAGGGAAACCGAGUCUUAACUGGGCGUUAAGUUGCAGGGUAUAGACCCGAAACCCGGUGAUCUAGCCAUGGGCAGGUUGAAGGUUGGGUAACACUAACUGGAGGACCGAACCGACUAAUGUUGAAAAAUUAGCGGAUGACUUGUGGCUGGGGGUGAAAGGCCAAUCAAACCGGGAGAUAGCUGGUUCUCCCCGAAAGCUAUUUAGGUAGCGCCUCGUGAAUUCAUCUCCGGGGGUAGAGCACUGUUUCGGCAAGGGGGUCAUCCCGACUUACCAACCCGAUGCAAACUGCGAAUACCGGAGAAUGUUAUCACGGGAGACACACGGCGGGUGCUAACGUCCGUCGUGAAGAGGGAAACAACCCAGACCGCCAGCUAAGGUCCCAAAGUCAUGGUUAAGUGGGAAACGAUGUGGGAAGGCCCAGACAGCCAGGAUGUUGGCUUAGAAGCAGCCAUCAUUUAAAGAAAGCGUAAUAGCUCACUGGUCGAGUCGGCCUGCGCGGAAGAUGUAACGGGGCUAAACCAUGCACCGAAGCUGCGGCAGCGACACUAUGUGUUGUUGGGUAGGGGAGCGU